rnacentral:rRNA from 1 species
AUUGAACGCUGGCGGCAUGCCUUACACAUGCAAGUCGAACGGCAGCACGGGUGCUUGCACCUGGUGGCGAGUGGCGAACGGGUGAGUAAUACAUCGGAACGUACCUUAUCGUGGGGGAUAAAGCAGCGAAAGCUGUGCUAAUACCGCAUACGCCCUGAGGGGGAAAGCGGGGGAUCGCAAGACCUCGCGCGAUUAGAGCGGCCGACGCCUGAUUAGCUUGUUGGUGGGGUAAAAGCCCACCAAGGCGACGAUCAGUAGCUGGUCUGAGAGGACGAUCAGCCACACUGGGACUGAGACACGGCCCAGACUCCUACGGGAGGCAGCAGUGGGGAAGUUUGGACAAUGGGGGCAACCCUGAUCCAGCAAUGCCGCGUGAGUGAAGAAGGCCUUCGGGUUGUAAAGCUCUUUUGUCAGGGAAGAAACACCGGCUCUAACACAGUCCGGGAAUGACGGUACCUGAAGAAUAAGCACCGGCUAACUACGUGCCAGCAGCCGCCGUAA